GCUUGCUCCCUGAGGUUAGCGGCGGACGGGUGAGUAACACGUGGGCAACCUGCCUGUAAGACUGGGAUAACUCCGGGAAACCGGGGCUAAUACCGGAUAAUUCAUUUCCUCUCAUGAGGAAAUGCUGAAAGACGGUUUCGGCUGUCACUUACAGAUGGGCCCGCGGCGCAUUAGCUAGUUGGUGAGGUAACGGCUCACCAAGGCCACGAUGCGUAGCCGACCUGAGAGGGUGAUCGGCCACACUGGGACUGAGACACGGCCCAGACUCCUACGGGAGGCAGCAGUAGGGAAUCUUCCGCAAUGGACGAAAGUCUGACAGAGCAACGCCGCGUGAGCGAAGAAGGCCUUCGGGUCGUAAAGCUCUGUUGUUAGGGAAGAACAAGUAUCGGAGUAACUGCCGGUACCUUGACGGUACCUAACCAGAAAGCCACGGCUAACUACGUGCCAGCAGCCGCGGUAAUACGUAUGUGGCAAGCGUUGUCCGGAAUUAUUGGGCGUAAAGCGCGCGCACGCGGUCCUUUAAGUCUGAUGUGAAAGCCCACGGCUCAACCGUG
rnacentral:rRNA from 1 species